GAAAAAGGCUUUAUUAUGGGUGACAUCAACUGAAGAGAUGAACACCAUGAAGUCAUCUUCUACUUACUCACAAUUGGAUUAUAAACUGUGUGAGGGCAGAGCCUAAGACUAACUCAUGUCUGCAUUCUAAGAUACUGGAGCAGUGUCUGGCUCAUAAAAGACAUCAAUGGGUGUCCUAAAUAGAUGUCAAUUGCUUGAAUUGAAUGACAGGGCAGAUUGGCUAUGGGACAGGUCUCAGAGUGUGUAGGGUUAUUCCUAGAGCAUAUGGGCCUGGAACUUUCUUCAGGAAAGAAGGUCUGGGAAGUAUGUGUGCAGUGACAUUUCUUGUGUUCCUCCCUAACUUGAAAAUCCCCCUCUUCUGACAACAGUGAGGCUCUAGGACCCUGUCCUCACACUUAGUGGACCCAAGCAUGGAGCAUGUGACCCUGGCCAGAGCCAAUCAGAAUAUCCCUGGCCAGUGGUUCAGGAGUGGGCACAUAAGCUAAGUCAGCCCAGCAAGAAUGAAUCUUAGGACUUCUUCAAAAAUUACUGGAAAAGACACUUGCUUUCUCCUGCUGAACUUGAAUAGAAAGCUGGAGUCACUGGAGCUCUCGUGCCACUAUAGGGACCAUGGGAAUGAAGCCAACACAUCAAGGAAAGCCAGAAUGCUGAAAGACACUAGUUAUUGCUGAAAUAGCUUGAAGCAAGAAGCCAGUUUUACCCUUGGACUUUUCCUAUUCCUAGAUAUAAGUCCAACUAGUAGAGCACAUUUCGCUAGGAAGGUCAGCAAGACAGGAG
rnacentral:lncRNA from 1 species